GACGAACCGUGCGAACGUUGUUCGGAUUCAUUGGGCUUAAAGGGCGCGUAGGCGGCCGCUCAAGUCGGGGGUGAAAUCUUUCAGCUCAACUGGAAAAUAGCCUCCGAUACUGGUCGGCUGGAGGGAGAUAGGGGUGCGCGGAACUUCCGGUGGAGCGGUGAAAUGCGUAGAUAUCAUUUGGAACGCCAAUGGUGAAAACAGCUCGCUGGGGGUUUGCUGACGCUGAGACACGAAAGCCAGGGGAGCAAACGGG
rnacentral:rRNA from 1 species